rnacentral:tRNA from 1 species
GUAAAUAUAGUUUAUAAAAACCCUAGAUUGUGAUUCUAGCGAUAGAGACUAAUCCUCUCUUAUUUACC